GUGCUAGUCUAAGGUCGUAGGAGGUUAUACAGGCAAAUCCGUAUAACAAUACUCCGAGAACUGAAAGGCUUUUUGAAGUCUUCGGAUGGAUAGAAGAACCCCUGAUGCCGUCGAGCCAAGAAAAGUUUCUAAGUUUAGCUAAUGUUGCCCGUACCGUAAACCGACACAGGUGGGUGGGAUGAGUAUUCUAAGGCGCGUGGAAGAACUCUCUUUAAGGAACUCUGCAAAAUAGCACCGUAUCUUCGGUAUAAGGUGUGGUUCGCUUCGUAUUAGGAUUUACUCCGAAAGCGAAGAAACUUACAACAAAGAGUCCCUCCCGACUGUUUACCAAAAACACAGCACUCUGCUAACUCGUAAGAGGAUGUAUAGGGUGUGACGCCUGCCCGGUGCUCGAAGGUUAAUUGAUGGGGUUAGCAUUAGCGAAGCUCUUGAUCGAAGCCCGAGUAAACGGCGGCCGUAACUAUAACGGUCCUAAGGUAGCGAAAUUCCUUGUCGGUUAAAUACCGACCUGCAUGAAUGGCGUAACGAGAUGGGAGCUGUCUCAAAGAGGGAUCCAGUGAAAUUGUAGUGGAGGUGAAAAUUCCUCCUACCCGCGGCAAGACGGAAAGACCCCGUGGACCUUUACUACAGCUUGACACUGCUAUUUGGAUAAGAAUGUGCAGGAUAGGUGGGAGGCUUUGAGUAUAUGACGCCAGUUGUAUAUGAGCCAUUGUUGAGAUACCACUCUUUCUUAUUUGGGUAGCUAACCAGCUUGAGUUAUCCUCAAGUGGGACAAUGUCUGGUGGGUAGUUUGACUGGGGCGGUCGCCUCCCAAAUAAUAACGGAGGCUUACAAAGGUUGGCUCAGAACGGUUGGAAAUCGUUCGUAGAGUAUAAAGGUAUAAGCCAGCUUAACUGCAAGACAUACAAGUCAAGCAGAGACGAAAGUCGGUCUUAGUGAUCCGGUGGUUCUGUGUGGAAGGGCCAUCGCUCAAAGGAUAAAAGGUACCCCGGGGAUAACAGGCUGAUCUCCCCCAAGAGCUCACAUCGACGGGGAGGUUUGGCACCUCGAUGUCGGCUCAUCGCAUCCUGGGGCUGGAGCAGGUCCCAAGGGUAUGGCUGUUCGCCAUUUAAAGCGGUACGCGAGCUGGGUUCAGAACGUCGUGAGACAGUUCGGUCCCUAUCUGCCGUGGGCGUAAGAAGAUUGAAGAGAUUUGACCCUAGUACGAGAGGACCGGGUUGAACAAACCACUGGUGUAGCUGUUGUUCUGCCAAGAGCAUCGCAGCGUAGCUAAGUUUGGAAAGGAUAAACGCUGAAAGCAUCUAAGCGUGAAGCCAACUCUAAGAUGAAUCUUCUCUAAGCUCUCUAGAAGACUACUAGUUUGAUAGGCUGGGUGUGUAAUGGAUGAAAGUCCUUUAGCUGACCAGUACUAAUAGAGCGUUUGGCUUAUCUUUAAUAAAGCAU
rnacentral:rRNA from 1 species